GUUCGCCAUUUAAAGUGGUACGCGAGCUGGGUUUAGAACGUCGUGAGACAGUUCGGUCCCUAUCUGCCGUGGGCGCUGGAGAACUGAGGGGGGCUGCUCCUAGUACGAGAGGACCGGAGUGGACGCAUCACUGGUGUUCGGGUUGUCAUGCCAAUGGCACUGCCCGGUAGCUAAAUGCGGAAGAGAUAAGUGCUGAAAGCAUCUAAGCACGAAACUUGCCCCGAGAUGAGUUCUCCCUGAGACUUAGAGUCUCCUGAAGGAACGUUGAAGACGACGACGUUGAUAGGCCGGGUGUGUAAGCGCAGCGAUGCGUUGAGCUAACCGGUACUAAUGAACCGUGAGGCUUAACCUUACAACGCCGAAG
rnacentral:rRNA from 1 species